GGAGCUGGAGCAACUACGGUUUUGAGCUCCGCAGUUAGUAGCGCUCUCCGCACCACGUCAUCUCUCCAGCGCCAAAGCCUAUACGUCCUAAGGCAGACAUCCUCCAAUGUAAAGACGUUGCUGUCCAAGACUUUCUUAGGGAGUAUGGGAAAUGAAAAACAACAGGGAAAUCCAAUACGGGAGGAUGGUGCUCCUCCCCUAGCUUCGGGACCGGCCACCCGCGCCUCUGCAUCCUCACUUCCGUUACCACUGAGGGAGCCGAGCGUCACGCACGGUUUCUCCACGCGGAAUUCUGGGAACUCGUCGGCUUCAGGCUAGCCUGUAGCCAUCUGUCCCCCUGGAUUUGAGUUAUUUUAGCCAGGAACCUCCAGAAUGACCCGCUAGAUGCUUCUGAGAUCGACAGCAAUUGCGUCUCGGGUGAAAAGGAAGGAGCGAGGUUUGAAAGGUAAGGAGCAGCGGCGAGCUCCGGAGGGAGCGUCCUGGUGCCUGCAGGCCCUCGGCGCGAGCGGCUUCUGCAGUGCCCCCGCCCCGCCCCGUCCCCGCAGCCCCCUCUCCCUGCCUGCAGCCCUCUCUCUCCCAUUCCGCAGCUCCCCUCCCCUCCUGCCCGCAGCCCUCUCCUGCCUUCAAUCUCCUUCUCUGGUCCUGCAGCCCUUUCUUGCAACCCACUCUCCCUGCCCUCAGACCCCCUCUUCCGGCCCGCAGCAGCCCUCCCGCCUGCAGCAGCCCUCCCCUUCUGCAGUUUCCCUCUCCCCUCGUUACCCCCCUCCCUCCCUGCAGCCCUCUUUUCCUCUCUGAAGCCCCCUCUCCCUUCCUGUAGUCCCCCUCACUCCUGCAGCCACCUCCCUCCUGCAGCCCCCCUCUCCGCCUGCGGCCACCGCUCCCCUUCUGCAGCUCCCUCCCUGCUCCCGCGGCGCCCACCUUCUCCACCCCCUAGUCGGCUCUGCUUCUGCCCCUGCCGCACUAGCAGAUCUCUCUGUGCAUAUCUUGGGUGUUCUGCAAAAGACAGACAUUAGACCUUCCUAGUAGCAUACUUGGAGAGAAAAAAAAAAAAAAAAGGAUGGUGAAACACUCAAAACUGCCUGGCAUGCAGGUCUCAUGGAGAGACCAUAGUAAUACUUCAUCCAGUUCUUGGCCGUCACAGUUGUGACCCAUCUAUGACCUUUAGAGGAAGGAGCUGGCUGCUUGCAGCAGGUACUGGGGCAGGAACUGUGAGAUGUAAUGUAGGGAAUUUUAUAAUUUUACAAUUUUUGGUUUCCCUGCAGCCCUGACUUCCCAAAAAGCAGUGCUGGAAGCCAUAAGUGACUAAGAUUGGCUGACGCUGGAGGAUGUGUGGGUCGUACACCUGGGAUUAACUUUUAUUAGAGGUGAGUCUAUACAGAGUGUUGUGCCCAGAUGGCAGAAACCCCGAAGAGACCACCAGGCACCACAACUCGGAAGCAAGCACACGAACAUCCUUGUCCUACUUUGAACUUGGGCCACAGACCUUCCCGAUGGGACAGGAAGGAGAGUGACCCCCAGCACUAGGUGAAGGGAUGGAUAAAG
rnacentral:lncRNA from 1 species